rnacentral:rRNA from 1 species
AUGUUGAUGCAAGACUACUUCGCGGAGAAUCCAACAUAUCUAUCGCACCCCUUCUGGAGAAGGUACCGAAUGCGCCGAUCUCUCUUUGUGAAAAUUGUUCAAGCUUGCGAGGCAAAUUGUCGGUAUUUUACUCAAAGAAGAAAUGUCGCGGGCUUAAAGGGAUUUAGUGCAUAUCAAAAAAUCUCGGCAGCUAUGCGGGUGAUUGCAUAUGGCGUUCCGGCUGACUAUACCGAUGAGUACUUUCGCAUUGGUGAAGAUACCAUAAUUGAGUCAGUGCGUAGGUUUGUCAAAGUGAUCAUCCGUGUCUUUGGUCCUGAAUAUCUUCGGGCACUCAAGGGUACCAAGCACCCAAGAGUAAUAAGCUUCUCAACUUGUAACUUCCACGUAUCACCGUGGAGAACUCAAACUGAUGCAUCAAAUGCAAUGGCAAGGGCACACGGAGUGCCCAAGUCCUUCUCUCUCAAAUCCCACCGAAGCAACUAA